rnacentral:lncRNA from 1 species
AUUUCCAUCAUAUGUUUAAAUCAUAUCUGAAUUAUCAUGAAUCCUUGCUCUGAGGCAAAGUUGAACACCAACUUUUAGUCCUGAGGUGAGGCCUUCAGAGUGGGAAUAAUGCUUAGUGCCCUCUGGAUGGGGCUUAUCAUCAGAUUUAUCUACAACAGAGAAGACUGUCUAGAAUGUAGAGGCACUAACUAUAGUUUUUCCUUUUUCUCCUUAGCAAAAUGGAACUUCCUUCAUGCAAAGGGAAGCCCUCCUGACUGUAGGUUAUUCGAGGGUGAAGAACAAACAUGAGUUCCACAUACCAUCUAAUGAUACAGGCAUAUCUAAAGGAGACAAGAAGACGGAAUGCAUCUUCCUGCGUGGGCAGUGCCUGCUGAGUGAAGGGAGGUUCGUGGCAAAGAUGACACCAGUAGCCGUGUGUAGCACUCACUCCUUGAGACUGUUGUUUCUGAAGCUGCAGUAUCCUCACAGGACCACAGAGGGAACAAAUGCAAACUACCCACAGUUCACUUAGCUGUACUCACUACACUUUCUUCAUUGAUCACAUGACACUGGAAGAUGAGAAUGAUUAAGGAGGAAAAGAAAAAAAAGAGCAUUCAAUUCUGCAGCAUGCUGAUAUGAGUGCCUAAAAAUGUACCUUGGUCAGAAAGUUUCACUGAGCUGGGGCUCAUACCCCAGGACUCGAAGAUACUCUUGGCAAACCUCUUGUGAGGAGGUUGAACAGAAAAUGGAAGCACCCAUGAAGGGCAGGUAGUUGCCGCAGGACUUGCCAACAGAUGGUUGGCCAUUCAUACAGUGUGAAGGAACCAUAGCUUUUGUGAUAAUGAUAUUUGAGCCAGCUUUUUGUUUUGUUUUGUUUUUUGUUUGUUUCCAGAAGUAUUAAAAGUAGAAUGGAACCACCAUGUGUGGAGUAUAUAAAGUUUCACAGAUAGGAAGUGGGUAAAGUAUUUGUUUUGAAAAAUCAUCUUGCAGUAAUGUAAAAACAUCUCAAGAGAAAAAUGUCCUCAUCUAAUGCUGCGUUAGGGCAUGCAUUUCUAUAACCUAAAUCUGUUGGUGACACAAAAAUAUAUUUUUUGUUGAAAUUCUCCUCUUUUAUUUUUUGCAGUACUGAGGAUUAAGCAUGGUAGGCAAGCACUCUACCUCUGAGCUAUAUCCCCAGUCCUUUCUAAAUUUUAUUUUGAGGAAGGGGCUCACUAAGUUGCCCACUGAUCUCAAGUUUGUGAUCCUCCCAAGUAGCUGGAAUUAUAGGUGUGAACCACCAUGACCAGCUUUGGAGAUUCUUUGUGGAUAUUUACAAGCUAGAUACACUUCAGAAAAUAGCUAUGAGAGCAAAAUAGGUUCUAAAACACAUAAUAGUUUUUAGAAUUGGAUCUGCAAUUCUAAAGAAGAAGAAACAAUAUAGAAGUAGAAAAAGAAAUGAAUAAAUAAUACAAUAGAGUACUGAUCUAUACUUGGACCUUGACUCAGGAAUUGAAAGAAUAAAUCUCAUAGACAUUGUAAGACUGUAGAAAAACUGGAUAGGGUCGAGUAAUGUUGUUCUUUUGGGAAAUUAAGACAAAACUAAAGUUAUUCAAGAAAGAGGAAUAUCCGAGUAUCUUAAAGGACUGCAAAAUGUAGUUUCACAGCUUGGAAAGACAAGCCAUGUCUGGGGACCCUUAUCCUUAUUCCAAACCAUGGUUGAGUUCUGAGUGUACUCUGAGAAGAACCUGAAACACAAUUUCUGGCUGGAGAAUCCUGAUGGUUGUCCUGAUAAACUUGGUACCUCUAAAGUCAGAAGCAACCACCGCUGGCCUAGAGGGCCUUGAGCGUAUUGACCUCAUAUUUCUGAUAUAUAGGCUUGUUCUGGGUCACCUUCUAAGCUCUGUCUUUUCCUCUCAAGCUUCCCUUUAUAUAAUCUUGCUUGUGUGUCAUCUGAUUUUUUGAUGCCUGAGGAUUUGCUUCUACCUUUCCAUGACCAAGCAUUGGCCAAAUCACUGUUUCUGUUUACUCAGUUGCAGUUAUCUGCCCCCGCUGGGGACUGUCUUCAGCUUUUGUAGCUGACAGCCUGUUUAAAUACAACCUAUUCUGUGGUCAUGCUGAGCCACAGGAAGCACUGUCUUUUGGAUUUUGCAGAACUCACACACUUAAAUGUACAGGGUCAGUUUUUAUAGCUGUUGCUGCAUCCACAUUGGACAGUGACCUUGGCUGAGACAUCCAUUACCUCUGUUUCAGAUAAAUUUAUCUGGUAUUUAAAAUCUCCAAUGUGCUUCCUCCAACUUGUCCAGAGCAAAGUAAAAUUAAAGACUGCAUCAAGUAAUGGAGAAAAGCCACAUUUUGGGCCUUUGCUGCUUUAUGAAUCUUGGAUGGUUUCAAAGAUGGCAGUAUAAAUGCAGAUGGCACUGCUCUGCAUUUGCCUGGCAUAGCUUUAAAAUAAGCAGUGUAUUUCAAACCUUCAUUGUUGGAAUGGUAUUUCCAAAUACAGACCCCAAAAGCCCUCAGGUGUUUGAUUCUAGGAUCAAGCUGGAGAUUCUUCUAUGCAAAUAUCUCCUGUGGCAUUGGAGUGGACCUUGGCUUCUGGGUCUUUUGCUUCCAACUCUUUCAUUUCUGGACGCUGGUGUGAAUCUACAUCUUGAAAUACAUACCUUAACAAGAAUUUCUGACCUGUAGAAAGCUUGUCUUUUGUGGAACAAAAGAAACGUAUGGAAAUAUCAAAGUAUCAGAAGCAGCAGUCACUAGCGAGGUCAUGAACGGAGGUCGGAUAACCUGAAAAAUAAAGUUCCAUGUGCCAAAAGCUAUAUUUGAUUUGUUUGGACUUUAUCCUUCAUUAUUUUCCUCUUUUAUAUUGAUCUUCUGAAAUUAAGUGAUUUUUCACUAUCUGCAUCAUAUUGUGAAAAAUGCGAAGUCCGGAAAUCGGACAGUGUUUCUUACUUGAGUAAUAAAUAGGAAGCAGCAUGGUGUGGAGGAAGGAGCUUGGGUUCCUCCUCUGCCUUGGCUGCUGACCUAGUCUUUGUCAUGGUAUCUCUUUGCAUUUCUCUCUUUAUAUCUGUAAAAUGGGUGGGGGGACUUUCUGGGGCACUUUUCUGGCUCUAAAAUUUAGCAACUCUGUAUUGCUGAUGGUUUCUUCUGUUUGGAGUUUCUAAAUCUGUCACAACUGAGAGGCCAAAGUUUAGGAGGAAUGGAAAGUUAUAGCUCUAUUUGUAAUAAUGUUUAAAACUUUUCAAUGCAAAUGCAGAUAAUUAAUUUAUCAUAAUUUCCUGAACGUUUUAUACUUUAAAAUACUGUAUUAUAAAAUGUAAUCUCAAGAAAACCACAUUUUUAAAUUUUAAAAUAAAUGGUUGUUCCUGCUUACUUGAAACCCUGCAGUGCCCCUGACCUUAAAGGGUGGUUAUCAACUCUGGUCAUGCAUUAGCAUCACUUAGCUUUAAUAUACCAGUGCUUGCCCUCUCACCCUUAGAAGUUUUGAUCUAACUGGCCUGGCAUAGGUCCUGGGUACUAGUAUUUUUUUAAGAACCAAAGUUGAGAAUAAGUGAUCUACAAUAUAUAUUCAAUUCCAAGGGCUGGUUUCUAAGGCCCGACUUUGUGUGACUCAGACCUACCCCCUCCAGACUGAGCUCAUGUGAUUUCCUCCCAUAUGCCAUUUCAUACUUCCUCAUCUUUGCGUCUGCUGUUAUGGCUUGGAAUGCCAUUGCUUCAAGAGGCCUUGUCUUUUCUGACCCCCUCUUCCUGUACUGCAGAUUUCUUUAUUAAUGUAGCUCCUAUAAUACUUUGUAAUAGCCUGUUUUGCGCUCAUUCUUCCUGUGCUGUAAAUAUUUUAUCCAUGAUUGUAGCCAUUUAUAUUUAUAAAUCUCUCACACAUAACUUCUCCACACCCAAGCAUCUUUCCUUUGUACCAAGAACAGCAUUCGCACCUUUAACUGUGGCCUGUGUAUACCUGCAUGAUCUGAACCUGCCCCUGGCUCAGGCCUUUCCUCUGCCACUUCCUACUUGUUCACCUCAUUCCAGCCUCACCAGCCUCUGUCUCUAAAGCAUGCUGUGCCUCUUCUCAUCUCAGAGCCUUGGCACAUCUGUCCUUGUGCCUCAUUUGCUUCUUUCACAACCUUAAGGCCCUGGUGCAAAUGUCAUCUUCCCACAGCAGACUUUCCGAACCACCCUAAAGUAGCAUAUCUCCAUGCCACCGCCAUCCUUCACCCUGCUUUUAUAUUCUUUAUGGGACUUGGACUAUCUGAAGGGAUCUUGCUGUUUUGUGCACAUGAUUAUCAUAAGCCUCCCAUUACUGGAUUGUAGGUUUUAUGAAGAUAGGGACUUUGUCUGUCUAGUAGGGACUCAAUAAAUAUUGAACGGAUGAAUGCUGUCUCCCCUGUAAGAUAAUGCUGUGCCCCGAGUAAUGACUGGAAGAAGGUGCUCGAUAAGAAUUUGAUGAAUGAGUGGUUACCUUCACAGACUUGUCUCUUUAACAAAUAGGAUGACCAAAGAGCUCCAAAUAACACUAAUAAAAACUUGUGGUAAAAACUAAUAAAAGCAUUUUCAUUUUACUUAUUAACCAG